ensembl:lncRNA
GAUUUAGCAUGGGUGUUAAAGUACCCUAUGUCAGCAAACUCACAGGAACAACUUGUCAAUUCUGCUAGUGUUCUGUCUAAGCUUCAAAAUGGCACAGCACUCAGAUACCCUAGUAUAUCAUAAUGUCUUUGACAUUUUCCUGAGGAAAAAGCAUGGAUUAUGAGUCAAUGUACAAAAGGAAGAAUAAAAGCUAUCUCUGUGGAAUUUAUGCUUCUAUGGAUGAUCAAAAGGAGCAUCCAACGGUAUAGCAGGGAACAUUCCAAGAAGGCUCCAUGAAAACUCUGGGACUUGAGGCAGCCUUUGAAAGCUGAGUGAAUUAUAUAAAACCCAUGCCCAAAUGCUACUUCCCAUGGUUGAAAGAAGUUGGGGUUUAGGACUGGGCACAUCUGGGUUCUAUCCUUGGCCUACCAUAUGCCAGCUUAGUAACUGGGUGCAAUUUUACUUAGCCUCCUCUGAGACUCAGUUUCCUCAACUUUAUGCUACUGAUCAAACCAACUGUGCAGAGUUCUCAUGAAUAAUGAGAUACACAAGAUACAUUUUUUUUUAUUGUCUGGCAAAUAGGUGCUCAACAAAUGUAAGAUAUUUUUAUUAGCUAGAAUUUGUGUAGAAGGUAUGUGAGUUAGAAUUUAAUCUCUUACCUAGGGCUUAAUUAAAUCUGCAAUUUGUAGGCAUCAAUGGACACGCAAUUUGAAGCCAUCUUGAAAGCACGGGUGAAAAUACACUGUAUGAAAAGCUCUGGUAAGUUCUAUCAUUCAUCAGCUUAAGCAGUUCCAAGCAGAAUGACUGUUAGUGACAUUGAGAUUGCAGCUAUUGAAUGUACUUUAGGUGGUAGAGUUUGUCCAACAUAAUCUCUUCCAAGCUACUAGCGAUACUGUUCAGCUUUCCAUGUUAAUGUAAAGUACAUUUGCCUCACCUAGGAGCCAUCAGGACUUCACAAGUACAACAGAGCAUCCCAUGACAACAGAGCCAACUUGGAAGUACUGUUCAUUGCCAUCGCAGAUUAAUUAUCAACUCCACUGCCUGCUCUUCAAGACUUGGGACCUUCAGAAAUGAAUCAAAUAUUAGAAAAUAUAAAGUUGGCUUCUGUUUACACCCCUGCUCAUUUCUACCUCUGUGGAUUGGAAGAUAAGAAAGCCAAAUUUCUUGCUCCCCAGGGUACCACUGAAGAUUCAUAUCCAUGGAACAGAGUCCAAUUAUAACAUUUCCUGAGAUUCUGAAAGUCUUAUGUGAUCAAGCUGAGAUUUUUUUGAUUGGGAUUGAGCUCCAUUAACCUUUCUCAAAGAGAAGGAAUCUUUUUGCACUGUGCUAAGGGACUCUACCCAUAUAAGUCAGCAUGUGACUUGCCAGGCAGGAGAUGAGGAAACCAGUGUAACGAGUACUGGUGAGAGUGCUCCUCAAGGCUGCAGUCUGCUGGAGAGUAGACAGAGCUCUCCAGGGUUUCUUUCUAUAAGGAUAUUAAUCCCAUUACAUCACUAAUUACACCGCUCAAAGGCCCCACCUCCUAAUACCAUACACAGAGGGGUUUGGAAUUUCAACAUAUGAAUUUGAGAGGACACAAACGUAUAGUCAAAAACACCAAAAAUUUAAUAUCUCAAAUAUGUGC